UCUAGGAAAUACAGUAGCUUUUCGGCAUUUGACUCUAGCUUCUCGCCAAAGUUUGGCCCAAAAAAUAUUAACUUGGAUCAGAUGUUGGCUAAACUUGGGCAAAAGUUGGGCAAGACUUCGACAAAACUUGGUUUGGGCCGAAGU
ensembl:ncRNA T24D11.4 ncRNA